rnacentral:rRNA from 1 species
CACGUAGGCGGCCAAGUCAGUCGGGUGUGAAAGCCCUCGGCUCAACCGAGGAACUGCGCCCGAUACUGCUUGGCUUGAGGUCCGGGAGGGGAGAGUGGAAUUCCCGGUGGAGCGGUGAAAUGCGUAGAGAUCGGGAAGAACGCCGGCGGCGAAAGCGACUCUCUGGUCGGAAUCUGACGCUGAGGUGCGAAAGCUAGGGGAAGGCAAACG